ensembl:lncRNA
UCACUGCCUACCUGCCCCCCAGUCUCUGGGAGACCUGGCACAGUGGGAUGGGGGAGGGGAGCACAGGCUCCCAAGAGAUCUAGAGAGAGAGAGAGGCCCGUGGCAGGGAAGGUGAGAGCAAGUCACAGGCAAGAACUGGGGGACAGUCUGAGCUGAUACGGUCACAGGAGAGAUGAGUCCCAGAACCCCCUUGGGGAGCAAGGUCCUUACACACAAACCUCCCCACCCCAACCCAAGCCCCAUGCAAGGCUUAACCAGGGGUUCCUUGGUGUUGAGUGCCACAGGCCUCUCAGUUUGGGUGGGGGUGUUGGCUGGCUCCUGGGGCCGAGUGUAAUAGGAGGGAAGGGAUACAAUUGGGUGGGGUGGAGCUGAGACCCACGCAUGACCCCAUGUCUCUGUCUCCAGGCUGCCCUCCUGCUAGGGAUCACACAGGAGCAUCUGCUCUGGAUGGGCCUGCAGCGGUCCUGGCUGUGCUGCUGACUGGUGCACCAGGAGCGGCACUGAGGGGAGCCGGGAGAGGCCCUGGCCCUCACCCCCAUCCCACAUCCACAUCUGCCCCCUCACUGAUUGCUCGCGGUCCUGGUCCUCAGUUCCUGGGACUAAGAACCACAGCAGCCUGGUUGCCCCUGGGACAGAGGGGCUGAGCCUCACACCAUGUGCCCUUCUCAGCCACCCAGGUCCUGGCCGAAGAGUUCUGCCUGCCUCACCCCGAGGCCUGAGGCUGCACCUGGGCUACCACGUGCCCCCCGCAGAUUCCCACAGAUGGAAGGGCACUGAUGGCUUCCUCCCUUGUGCCAAGUUGCCUGGAAACCCCUGGUCCUGGUGGCCCCUCCUCCACCCCAACUGUGUCCCUCCAGGACCACUUCCAGGAGACUGCCAGCCUUUGGACUGCAUCCCUGGAGUUCUGAGAGACUGUGACAUGUGCUGCAGGGGAGGAGAGGAGCAGAGGACCAGGGGCCUCCUUGGGGCUGAUGUGCAGUGGAGGUUCUACGCCAUCACCGACUUGAAUAAGACAGCUUUCCCUUUUCUGUGUGUGAUGAACUCUCCACCAGUCAGCGCAGUCUGGUCAGAGAAAUGUUCUUGUUUUCAGUGUUGUCAAAUCUUGUGUCUAUCUAAGUUAAUAAAAAAAAUUAUUUUAGUUCAAAAAAAAAAAAAAAAGGAGGCCUCUUGUUUCUGGUGUGGUGCCCCCUUGGAGGAGAGGGUCUGUUGGUGAGCUCACCCGACUCUGGUGGCCAGAAGCUGGGGGAGGGGAGCAUCCUGAGGGCUAUAAUUGGGUGGGGUCAUGGCAGGAAACCAGUGAAUGUUAUACUUCAUAUUAAUAGAACAAAGGGGUAAUACAUAAUCAUUCCAAAAGAUUUAAAACAUGGAUUUGGUGAAAUUCAGUACCCAUUCAUGAUUUUAAAAACUUUUAAGAACAUUGAAAUUGUUAGGAACUCAUUCUUCUGGCAAAUAGUCUAUAAAAAACCUCAGUGUGCAUAAUAUUUAAUGGUGAAAGAAUGUUCCUAAUAUUGGGAACAAUGCAUGGUGUCUACUCUUGCCAUUUCUAUUCAUCAUUGUAGUGGAAGCUUGAGCAAAUGGAAUAAGCCCCCUACCCUGACAAAUCCAUCCGAAUUGGAAAGGAAGAAAUAAAGCUUUAUUUAUUCACAGAUCAUCCUGUAUGGAGAAAAUAACAAAGCACAGACACAAAAAAGCCACUAGACCCAUAAACAAAUUUAGCAAGGCCAACAGGACACAAUAUCAACAUCA